rnacentral:rRNA from 1 species
CGGGGUUAUUUAGAAGCUUGCUUCUAAAUAACCUAGCGGCGGACGGGUGAGUAACACGUAGGCAACCUGCCCACAAGACAGGGAUAACUACCGGAAACGGUAGCUAAUACCCGAUACAUCCUUUUCCUGCAUGGGAGAAGGAGGAAAGGCGGAGCAAUCUGUCACUUGUGGAUGGGCCUGCGGCGCAUUAGCUAGUUGGUGGGGUAAAGGCCUACCAAGGCGACGAUGCGUAGCCGACCUGAGAGGGUGAUCGGCCACACUGGGACUGAGACACGGCCCAGACUCCUACGGGAGGCAGCAGUAGGGAAUCUUCCGCAAUGGGCGAAAGCCUGACGGAGCAACGCCGCGUGAGUGAUGAAGGUUUUCGGAUCGUAAAGCUCUGUUGCCAGGGAAGAACGUCUUGUAGAGUAACUGCUACAAGAGUGACGGUACCUGAGAAGAAAGCCCCGGCUAACUACGUGCCAGCAGCCGCGGUAAUACGUAGGGGGCAAGCGUUGUCCGGAAUUAUUGGGCGUAAAGCGCGCGCAGGCGGCUCUUUAAGUCUGGUGUUUAAUCCCGAGGCUCAACUUCGGGUCGCACUGGAAACUGGGGAGCUUGAGUGCAGAAGAGGAGAGUGGAAUUCCACGUGUAGCGGUGAAAUGCGUAGAG